rnacentral:rRNA from 1 species
UACAGAGGGUGCAAACGUUGCUCGGAAUUAUUGGGCGUAAAGCGCACGUAGGCGGUCUUGUAAGUCAGGAGUGAAAGCCCUCGGCUUAACCGGGGAAGUGCUUUUGAAACUGCAAGACUUGAAUACUGGAGAGGAUCGCGGAAUUCCCGGUGUAGAGGUGAAAUUCGUAGAUAUCGGGAGGAACACCAGUGGCGAAGGCGGCGAUCUGGACAGAUAUUGACGCUGAGGUGCGAAAGCGUGGGGAGCAAACAGG